CGACUUUUGACUUAUCUUAGGAUGCUCCGGGCCCCCUGGCUGGCUGAUCAAGAAUCCGAUGCAAAUGUGGUGAGGUUUCCCAGGGCGGGAAGGACCUGGAAGGUGGGGUCCGCUGGCCGCUGCCCCUCCAGUCACGGUGCCCCAACGGAGAGGAGUCUGAGUGGUGUUGUUAUCCCCAUUUUACACGUGAAGCAACAGGGGCAGAGAAGCCAAGGUCACCUGCUACUAUGUAGCUGGUCCGUGAUCUGAGCCCGGGAGUGUCUGUCUCCAAAGGCAAGGUCUUCUCUGUUGUG
rnacentral:lncRNA from 1 species